GAACGGCAUGCUCAGUGUCGGUCAAUUUUAAAAGCGGACAUGAACGAUAUUAUACACAAUUUAUAGAACGAUUAAAGUAGAUAAUUUUCAUAACUAUAGUUUUUUUUAAUUUAAUUGGGAUAAGGCAAAAUAUGUUAAAUAAAUAUUUUGUUUCAUGGAAAGUACACGUAGCAAUAACUAAACGCUUAAUAGCGACGUUACAGUAGUAUUGCCAUAUUCAAUAGCAGAUUUCUAGUUAGUAGAAUAUUGGUGUCGCCUAGGUGGUAAUAAACUCACUUUUAUUAUAUAAAAUAUCACAAAAGCACUUUUAUUUUAAUAAAUAUAACUAAAUAGGAUAUUAAUGUAUUCCAAAAUGUUACUGAUAGAUUGAAACUAAAUGUCUAUACAGUUGAUUAAAAUAUUACAAUAUAUUGGGAUGUUUUUUAGAGCUAAAUCUGGCAAUGAAAAUACCUAAGCGACCAAAAUCAAAUGUCACUGUCAGAAAUGUCAAAUGUCAGUGUCACUGCUAAGCGCCGCCGGGCACUGGGUAUUUUUCAAUACUAACAAUUGUACGUUUAGGUUUCAACUUUUUUGUAAUCACCAGCAUUCGGCAUUGAGUUGAGCUCUUAAAAAUAGCUUUUAACUCCUGCGCAUAUUAUAGUACUCGUAAUUAUAGUGAAGUGAAACAUGUCUCGAUCAAAUGUACGGUGUAUCAACUGUGAACUGCAGUUGACGCGAACGCGUUCGUGAAUAUUAUAAGAAGACAUCGUUAAUAUUAUAAGGCUAUGGACUUAUCCAACAGAGAUAACAGACACGGAUUUCGUAUGCCAGGCUUGUUGGGACCUAGCAAAUCAUGCAAGUGAGCAAGUACUUGAAUAUGAAAGACAAGUUGGUCAUAAAAGUGUUUGUGUUGGUUGUGGACGUUCCAUAUUGAGAAGCAGAAGUCGUGUAGUACUGAGACCAGACAGUACAGUUGAAGAAAGACAACUUGCUGAUAUCAUUUCACAAUGGAUACGCCACUGUCAACUUACUCCUACUGAUGAAGCAUGUGGGCCAUGCUGGCUUCGAGCACAGAGGAUGUUGCGACGCAACACUGGCACACAAAGUGCACAGCCAAACUUGCUUGCAAAUCAAGUUAUUAUACCUGAGCUAGAAGUAGAGAAUCCAGUAGAACAAGAAGAAACCCAAACAAUACCAGAGCAAUAGUAUAUUACAUUGCCAAACAUAAGACGAGCAGCUGACACAAGAAGACACUACCUGUUCUCUGGUUGCAGGAAUCCUGAGCGAUUCCAUAUUCCUGAUAUUGUUCGUCGACGGGUACUCAGUGAUUGCAGCUUUUAUAUACCCAGAGGCUCUCGCAUAUGUAGUUAUCAUAUGUAUCGUAUGUGUUGUGUGGGUGGAAAAUACUGUGGGCGGCCACUGUUGGAUGUUUAAAAUAUUGUUCCUAUUAUUUUUGUUUGCAUUUGUUCCUUCAAAUAUUUAUAUGCUUUUUUUGUAACUAAUUAGUGUACACCCUUUCCUGUGUUACUGUAUUUAAUUUUUCUUUCCUCCAACCAUGGGUUGCCUGGAAGAGAUCGCUUCUUAGCGAUAUGGCCACCCAGGAGA